rnacentral:rRNA from 1 species
UAGGGAAUCUUCCGCAAUGGACGAAAGUCUGACGGAGCAACGCCGCGUGAGUGAAGAAGGAUUUCGGUUCGUAAAACUCUGUUGUUAGGGAAGAAAAAAUGUAUAGUAACUAUAUACAAAAGAGACGGUACCUAACCAGAAAGCCACGGCUAACUACGUGCCAGCAGCCGCGGUAAUACGUAGGUGGCAAGCGUUGUCCGGAAUUAUUGGGCGUAAAGCGCGCGCAGGUGGUUUAGAAAGUCUGAUGUGAAAGCCCACGGCUCAACCGUGGAGGGUCAUUGGAAACUAAUAAACUUGAGUGCAGGAGAGAAAAGUGGAAUUCCUAGGGUAGCGGUGAAAUGCGUAGAGAUUAGGAGGAACACCGGUGGCGAAAGCGGCUUUUUGGCCUGCAACUGACACUGAGGCGCGAAAGCGUGGGGAGCAAACAGG